CUGACAGCAAAAGUCUAUCUGUUACCCAAUCACACCCAAGCAGUGCACGCAGCCAGUUUCUAUCAGAUUUUGUCCAAGCAAAUUAACAUUUUCUGAGAAUUCAGAUGUGGAGGUAAAGUUUCCAACUAACCUUGCUAUCUUCCAGCUCCUGGGUUUUCCCUUGAAGCGCUCUCCUCUCUCCAAAAUCACAGGUUGACUUUAAGGUGAGCUGACAAGACAGCAUCGAGCUCUCUGCCCCCGUAAGCUCCAAGGACUUUGCAUUCCAGGUCUGCACGUUAAGCGAAUGAAGGACGGGAGAGAAGGAGGCAG
rnacentral:lncRNA from 1 species